UACUUUUAAAUUUAUAUUAAUUGAAACAAUAUUCAUAUAAUACAUCACAAAAAUGGUGGGCACUGCACUUUGUUUUAAAAUAAUUAUUGAUCACAUUUUUAGAUUGGGUAAUUAUUACGUUAUUAAGUAAUUUUGUAAAUAAACAGAAAAUAAAUUACACUACAUAAUGAUUUUUAAAUAAGAAAUGGCCAAAUUAUUUUUUUCUCCGUAGGAUGUACAAAGGCAUUCUCUUACAUUAUAAUUUUUUCUUAUACAUACUCAAGUAUUUUGAUCCUUAAAGAUAACACACAAUAUAUUUUUAUUAAAUCAAGAUGCUUUACUACCUGAAUCUUAACUUAUAAGUAUAUUUUGCAUUUGCAAUUUAAAUGAAAAUUAAGAAAGUUAUAAAAUAAUGUUUUGCAGAUGAAAACUGAAAAAAUCCAUAAAAGCAAAAGAUUGUUAUAGUUUUGUAUUAGAGCUUAUCAAAACUAACAAUAUAAUGAAAGCACAAAAUGAAAACAAAAAUGAAAACAAAAAUGAAAAUACAUAUCCACUUCUACCAGAUGAAUCUUUUAAAAGAAAUAAUAAUGCUGCAUUUGUUUAUUAAAAUUUUAUGAAUUAUGGUCAUUUAUCAGCUGUAUAUUUCAUGGCAUUAGAUCUUAAUACUGAUGUAUUAGUAACUGCAGGUAGAGAUUCUACUGCAAGGGUAUGGAACAUGUGAACCAAAAUAAAUGUACAUACACUUGUUGGUCACACUAACACAGUUGCUAGUGUAAUUCAUCAAAUAACUGUACCACAGGUAUCAAGAUUCAUCAAAUCAUGUUAUGUUAUAUAUCCUAUAAAAGAUAUUUAACUAUAUAUAUUUUUACUUAUUUUCUUUACUAACUUAUCACGAGAAGUCACGAUUGUACUGUAUGAUUAUGGGAUUUAGAUAUUGAAAAAUCUAGAGCUACUUUAAGAAGUCACAAGAAAAAUAAAAGAGUUGUCUUCUCAUCCAUCACUAUAUAUGUUCGCAUCAGCAUCUCCAGAUAACACCAAGCAAUGGAAAUGUUCAAAAGGAAAAUUUAUUCAGAAUUUAUGUGGCUAUAAUGCAACAGUUAAUUGUUUAGCUGUUAAUGCUGAUGGCGUACUAGUUUCUGGAGCAGGCAAUGGGAAUCUCUAGAAAUAAAGAACAGGGCAAAUAUGAUACUUCAUAUAAAGAUUGUAUUUUUUCAAUUAAUUUCCAGCAUUGUUUAUGAUAUCUAUAUAGAUAUAUUUUAAGGUAUAAUUUCCAAUGCUUACAAGCACCAAUUCAACCAGGCUCAAUGGACAGUGAAGUUGGAGUAUUUAGUAGUACAUUCGAUAUAUCUAGUACUCAUAUAAUUACAAGAGAAGGAGACAAAACAGUAAAAGUAUAUAAAAAUGAUACUGCUGUAAGAGAAUUAUUUUUUAAAUAUUAUCGUGCCAAUAAUUAAUAUAAAAGGACACAAUUUCUUUUUUAUUAUUAUUUUCAGACUAAAGAGAUACAUCCUGUAAACUGGGAGUUGGAUAUAAUAAAGCACAGAAAAUAUUAAGCA